rnacentral:lncRNA from 1 species
AUUCAAGUUCAGUGCGAGGAAACGGAUAUUCUGCCUACUAGGGUCUUACCGAAACCUCAUUGGCUGGUCAUCGGACUACUGCAGGCACGGCGGUUAGAAAAUCAUGUAUGCUCAGAAUUCAGUAAAAAUCCCACCAUUCAACUCAAAAUUCAAUGAGGGGCUCCUUUCUAAUAUCAAUUUGUGGAGUUGGUGAGCCAAUUGGCCGGAACUACUUCGACAGUCGACUGAAGAGCCAUCGAUCAUGGUGGUCUCGCAAAAUAAGACCCGUCGGUCUGGUGGUAGGAAUCGGCUCGACGGUGAUGGACAGGGGUGUCGCGCGAUGAAGGUCGGUGAGAGAGGAGUGUGAGUGAGAGUUUCCUUCUUUCUCUUUUA